rnacentral:rRNA from 1 species
GAUGAACGCUAGCUUCAGGCUUAACACAUGCAAGUCGCGGGGCAGCAUGGGGGUUGCUUGCAAUCCCCGAUGGCGACCGGCGCACGGGUGAGUAACGCGUAUCCAACCUGCCCUUCACCACGGGAUAACCCGGCGAAAGUCGGACUAAUACCGUAUGUUGUCCAUUGACGGCAUCCGAUUUGGACGAAAGGUUUGGCGGUGAAGGAUGGGGAUGCGUCCGAUUAGCUGGACGGCGGGGUGACGGCCCACCGUGGCGACGAUCGGUAGGGGUUCUGAGAGGAAGGUCCCCCACACUGGAACUGAGACACGGUCCAGACUCCUACGGGAGGCAGCAGUGAGGAAUAUUGGUCAAUGGGCGUAAGCCUGAACCAGCCAAGUAGCGUGCAGGAUGACGGCCCUAUGGGUUGUAAACUGCUUUUAUGCGGGGAUAAAGUGGCCCACGUGUGGGUUUUUGCAGGUACCGCAUGAAUAAGGACCGGCUAAUUCCGUG